GGGGCAUUACCGCAGUUUCCAUUUCAACGUUGGUGUGAGCCAGAGGGAUGCAUCACAGGGCCUCUCUGGCGUGGAGGGGAUCCAGCUCAGGCACAGGUACAGGUGAGAGUCUGGGGAUCAGCAGCAGCUGCUGAGGAGCUGUGUCCAGGCGCUGAGUGAUCCCUGCUCCCUCCGCAACCGCACGCCUUCGCUUCGACACCACCCAGAAUUUUGAUUGGAGACCGGGGAACGCAUCACACGGAACAUCCGAGGUCUGACAGCGUCGUUCGUCUUGGCAGGGAAAUCUGCCACUGCUCUUUGCUAUUUUACAAGUGUAUCAAAUAUUCUGCUAUCAAAGAAAGAAAAACAAACAGAGCACUGCGUUUAUUACAGUUGUCAGUAAAUGCCCCUUACUGUAAACUAUCUUUGGAUUCAGGACAGAGAAAUAUAAUAUUACACAAUAGAUUUACACAGAAACAACCGUUUUUCAACAAACAGUUGGCUCAAGAGUCAGUAGAUAUUGAUACAGAAAGUGAUAACACCUUAAGAAGUAUCCAGAAAUUAAAGAACUGUUUUAAUGAGCUUGUGAUAUUACCAGGGUCCAUUUAACACAGAAACCCAUUUCAAGCCAUUUACUGUACAGCAUUAGUGCAGAGAGGACAUUACGCAAAGCCUUGUGUGGAUCACAAACAGGCACAUCAUUGUUACAUGGAUGGAUUAAGUGGAUAGGCUAUUUUUUCUCUGGUUAAAUCAAUCGAGAUCUUUUUUCAGCAUGAACCUCUAGUUAUUUCAGAACCAGUACACAUACAGUGUUUUUUUUUUUUUUUUUUCAGAGAGCAUCCUGCUGGAAGCUAAUAAACAAUGAAAUACAUGCAGCACCAUUUGACUUUGCGGGGAGGUUCAACUGACACAUCCCCUGCUUAACCACCGUAAGGAGUGAAGCAGCGCGGCAGCACCGUCAGGUGAAGCAGCGCGGCAGCGAGGCAGGAUGGGAUACGGCGGAGGACUUUGAACUCUGAACUCGGUUUUGAAACGAACGCUGCGCGCACGUUCAUUCCACUCAAUCUCUCAGGCCCCAUCGCCACGCUGGGAUUUCAAACGCAUCAGCGUUCGAGCGCGCGGAAUGACAUCGCGAUACAUCUCUAAUAAACGUGACUGCCAGCCUUUCUGUUCGCGCUAAAGGAGGUGUUAAAUUGUUUUGGUUAAUUUAAACCGAGAAGCCCCUCGUUACGCAAGGUUUCCGAACGGCGCUCUUGACAUCUGGGCCGAGGGUCAAGACGCUCGGCGCUCGGCGGAGCGGCGGAGCGGCGGAGGAGCGAGCGGCGGUCUCUGGAUGCUGCGCCUAUCUCUCAAUCAGAGCUCCUCGCUGCAAUCACUGUGGCAUUGUUCCUGUCAUGUUGUGGAAAGCGCUUUUGACACAGCGCAUGAUGAAUCACCUGCCCUCCGCAGGCUCAGAUCCCAUCGGCUUUUUCAUCGGGAAAAAACAACAUUCAAUUCAUUUGUCCAACUCUUUCAUGUCUGCUGCUUUUCAGUGGAACAUAGUGUUUCAAAAGUUAUUCACAGAGCUCUCCUUUCUUUCCGUGAGUCUGGCAAAGCAAAUAUCUGGCGGGGAGUUCAUAAAGGAACGGCUUUUACUCGCUCAAGGUGCUGAUGGCAGAGCCCACUUUGUUAUGUUGGGAGCUUAGAAAAACAAAACUUAACAGGACUGGAUGUUGGCUAAAUUAAGUGGCAAAAGCUUCUAAUUGUCCCAGGUUCAUCUUGUCUUGGAGAAAUACUGAUAUACUUUGUGUUCUAAGCCACAGAUUCAGGAAAGAUUCAUGGUUCUUUUUUUUACUGUGCCAUUUUUAAAACUUUUCCCUUCUGAGAGUUAAAAGAGAACACAUAAAAACAUGUAGGGACAACAUGGGAGCACGUGAUCUGAGGUCUAAGGUGAAAGUUUUCAAAAGGUUGAAUACAUGAUAGAGGAGCACUCCAAGGGAGCUCAGUACAUACGGAUUCCUUCACACAAGGAAAUGAGAGUGAUAUAGUGUUCCUUGAUUUUCUGAGAGCAUCAAGACAAAAUAGCUACUCAAAGCCUGUUUAACAUCAGUGCUAACAAUCGACUGACCAUGUUUUUACACUACUACUGGCAUAAAACACACGCAUUGUUUUUGUUAAAUUUCAACAUGCAAUAAAUUCAGUUCAUUUGUGAGGAUUUGUGAGAGCUGAAUUUACAGCGCUCUUUGCUGUAAGUGAAGUGGUCAAUCUGAUGUUCCUUAACAGAGAGAUCUCCAUCCAGAUAACUUCUCCCAGCAACUUCAAACACAUGAAUACUUUGAAAGGCAUCAUAAAGCAACGCAGCUUUAUGCCAACACGGAACAAACAAACAAAAAAGUGGCCAAAUGAAAGAGGACACACAUUCUAAGCGAUAUUGUAGCAGAGAUGGUUUGAACUGCUGGCACCGCAGUGAUUUUGUAUUUAACAGCAGUCAGUAAUGCGCUCCCUUGUAAACGUCUGACAUGCGGAACUGAUGAAAACCCUCGCAGUACACAGAGUACGCAGAGGCUGCAGACGGACUCUGCCUCUCGGCUCAAUGCUGUGUGAAGUGAUUUGUAGAUUUAGUCAGACUGUAUCUGCCAGCUGUACUCCGACUGUCCCGCCCCUUCCCCACAAACCCAGACAAAACAAACCGUUUGAGUGACAGGUCCCAACCGAGUGGCCCUUCCCCACCUGAGAGCCGAGGAUUUAUUCUGUUAAUUAUCCACCUAUUAAAACAAAUUUCAUUAAUGCACUGAUUUAAAGGCAAACGAAGGGUUUAACACGCUGCCAUCGGAUUGGAUAAUUCUCUAUUUCACAAAUCCUUAAACACACAGCGGUAUUGCCAAAUGCCUUUGGCAAUAUCUGUAUUACGAAUCUGUGCAAUUAUACACUUUAUUUUGAGGCCGUAAAAUUUUAACCCAUUGUGCAGGGUAAAUUGUGCAUCGGAUGACUGUUGCACAACGUUUGGAGGGAGCCCGUGGAAUGAACCUGUAAAAGCAUGCACGCGAUAAAUAAACAGGAUGUGACUCCCAACACGAACGUCAAAACUGCAUUCUCCGCUGAGAGAAAGAGCAUGUCUUCAUAUUUAUUUUAAUGCCGUUUUACUAGGCAGAACAGGGCUGUGUUGAAAAGCCCAUGUACAAUAAACAUUAAAGGGGAACAAAUGCUACAAGCUCUCUAAGCCACCUGAAAUACAAUGCACACAAAACAGACAAAAUGCCAUUUAAAAUCUGUAGUCAUCUUUUAUUUCUGCCUCUUUGUGAUGUGAGCCAUAUCUGUACGAUGUAAAGACAGACGUGAGGGCUAAAUGCCUGGACGCACCCUCUACUGUGUUAGUUUAUAGGCUUUUACACCUGGAUAAAUAUUUGUGCAUAAUAACUUGUCAUCUGCAAAGGAAAUGAGUACACACUUUGUCUGCAUGAAGAAUAUAGAUUUAUAUAUUUAUUGUUAUUAUGUUUGCACACACACGUGCUUGAAUACGUUCAAUUCAGCAGUACCACUGCCUUCAGGAUGUCAUUUGAAUGCGGGUUUGAGCAAUGCACUAAAGUAAAGUUUUACAGACACACACACACAAGCAUGCACGCACGCAGGCGUGCACGCACACACACGCACACACUCAAACGCACAUACACACACACACACAAAGACAGACACACACACACAUGCACACAAAUGCACACACACACACACGCAGACACAGACACAAACACACACACACACACACACACACACAUAAACGGGACACAUACGUGAGAUUAUCAGGCUGAGCGUGACAGUAAGGAGAGUCUCCUCCUCAGCAUUUGAGACUUACUUGUACUCUUACACCUCUGUGUCUGUAAUCUUUAUCUCUCAUAAUUCAGCAUAAAAAAUAACUCAGCACAUAUGCAAACUUAAUGAGACACACACAACUUGGCCUGCAGUUCAGAUGGAUGGUAGCUCUCCUGAAGUCUGUCACUAACCAGAUUUCACUCCCCUGUCUUCCUUAUACUAUUCUUCUUCCUCUACAAGACAGGCUGCACUGGCUAGCUAGGAACCAAUACAAAUGAUAAGAGCCACAUACUAUACAACACGCACCAACAUCUCAAAUUGGUUUCUAUAAGUUAGCUACUGCGGCCAUUACUAUUGAUCACUUUGGAUUUUAAUUGCUAAUUAGUGGUAAUUAGCUGUGACAAUGUGCCAUUAAAGACCAGAUGUGAAAAUGUUAGUAGAUGUAAGAACCAGCUAGAUCAUAGAAAGACUCAUAAAUCAUGUCCAUUAUAUGCUAUCUUGUAUAAUUCCAUUCUUUUUUGUAAAAAAUGUAUCCAACAGACCUGGAAUAUAUAUAGGGAUGUGAAUGACUAACUUUAAAAAUGUCAGUAUUAGACUACACUCAUCCUAGUUUGGAAUUACAGUAAACAUUCUUUAUCAUUUUUAUUUUCUCAAAAUAAUAAUAAACUUGGUGUUUUCAUA